CAGGGUCUUGAGCUUUCUUUGCAAAUCUAAGAGAUUAGACGUUCCCUUCGGGGACAUGGAUACAGGUGGUGCAUGGUUGUCGUCAGCUCGUGUCGUGAGAUGUUGGGUUAAGUCCCGCAACGAGCGCAACCCUUAUUAUCAGUUGCCAGCAUUAAGUUGGGCACUCUGGUGAGACUGCCGGUGACAAACCGGAGGAAGGU
rnacentral:rRNA from 1 species